rnacentral:rRNA from 1 species
GAGUUUGAUCAUGGCUCAGAUUGAACGCUGGCGGCAUGCCUUACACAUGCAAGUCGAACGGCAGCACGGGAGCUUGCUCCUGGUAGCGAGUGGCGAACGGGUGAGUAAUGCAUCGGAACGUAUCCUGGAGUGGGGGAUAACGUAGCGAAAGUUACGCUAAUACCGCAUAUUCUGUGAGCAGGAAAGCGGGGGACCUUCGGGCCUCGCGCUCUUGGAGCGGCCGAUGUCGGAUUAGCUAGUUGGUGAGGUAAAGGCUCACCAAGGCGACGAUCCGUAGCAGGUCUGAGAGGAUGAUCUGCCACACUGGAACUGAGACACGGUCCAGACUCCUACGGGAGGCAGCAGUGGGGAAUUUUGGACAAUGGGGGCAACCCUGAUCCAGCCAUGCCGCGUGAGUGAAG